rnacentral:lncRNA from 1 species
AUGGAACAACGAAAAUAUUGGAGCGAUCAAGUUGUGCACGUUCACAUGUUUAUCCGGCCGAUUGUACCGGCAACAGUACAAAUAGAGAUGGAUUCAGGAAAAUUAGAUACAGUCAUGAAACCUGCCGAUCGCCAGGAGUCUCCGGGUGAAGACGUCGGCAGCGACGCACCCGACUGGGGAUUCUUCAGCGCCGUGGUCUCUGGUUUGCAAACACAAAUUUUGCUUUCACUGGGGAACCUUUGUAGCCAAUUUUGUGAAACACAAAAGAUGUUGAUAACGAUGGUCCAUGAUAACGCUAAAUUUCUGGAAAAUAAUAAUAAUAGAAUGACAAACGUUGAACACAAUCAACAACUACAAUUACAGCAAGUCACGGAUUUAACUCAUGGAGAACAACAUUUUCCAAGGAAAAGAUACAUCGAGGUAGAGUAUCCUACCACUAUAGGAAAGAGGGUUCGAGGAGUCAAUGGUAGGGCCGUUGCUUAUCCAUAUGACCAUUACGAAAAAAACAUUAGCACAAAGAUCAUUAAUGUGUUUGUCAAGCAUUUUGGACAAACUAGAUCAAUUAAACGACAUAAACAUAUUUACCAGGCCUACUUAGAGAACCCAUCAGUUGUGCCAAUGCUUAUCAACUAUGGCUAUUAUGAUGGUGUCAAGCUAGGAAACACAAAUCAAAAUAUGUACAAAUCCGCUGCAGUCAACUACGUGAAUAAUGAUAUGAUUUUCCUACCAAUAAGAACUUCAAUAGGCCGUUGGUACCUCGGAGUUCUGGACUGUACCAGAAAGGAGGUGUGUGUCCUUGACUCAAUGGACACAACUGAAGAUGACUUGAAAGAACUUAAGUUUCUGAUGAAAGGCAUCCGCAAAUGUGUCCGACUUGUCCUCGAUGAGAAAAUUGUAGAGAACCCUAGGUGGGAAGAUUACAAUGAUAAGAUUCACUUGCCUAGCAAAAAGGGCAGGACAUCCAGUGGGCUGUACAUAAUCAAGUUCAUGGAGUUAUGGACGGGAGAUUCGCUAAGCAAACAAUUUUAUCAGGUAUCACAUAUCAUUGUUGUCGCCUGUGAAAAAUGUCUUGAUCUGGCUCUUAAAUAUGUUGAGUGCUGUUUGAAGGUAAAUAUUCCUGAAAGGAUUACUGUAAUAUGUGGGGUACUUUGCUUAAAGAAUAAGUGUUGCUUCAAGUAAAAAUCAGCAC